rnacentral:tRNA from 1 species
UUCCUGAUAGCUCAGUUGGUAAAGAAUCUGUCUGCAACGCAGGAGACCCCAGUUCAAUUCCUGGGUCAGGAA